rnacentral:lncRNA from 1 species
CUUGGAUCUGGUACCUGUAAACAAAAUCCCCUGACCAUCACACGGAUAUAUUCUUUAGCUACAAAUAUGGUCCAGGUCUGCUGUUAAAACUGGGACACUGGCGGCCAGGAAUACAAGAGCAAUUGAGACAGGAAAAGGUAAGAGAAUGUAAUUGUGAUCUAGCUGUUACAGUACUGCGUUGCAGAUUUCCAUGGUCCUAGGUCCUGUUUCCCUAAUUAGCCUCAUUUAAAUCCAAUAUAAAGUAUUGGAACAAUUAGGAACAAUUUCCAACUACAUAAACCCUAAAAAGUAUUAGAGAUUGUGAUUUUUACAGCAUAUUACUUGUAUAAAUGUAGCAUUUAUAUACUUUUAUAGUGUAUGGAAGGUACACAAAGAUUGACUGAUGUUAUUGCAAUAAUGUCUUGUAGUGAUGAUGUAAUGUCAAUUGAAGUGUGUAUCAUUUAUGGAGUACUGAAUUAAAGGCUUCCAUAUCCUGAAAAUUCUUUACUAUCAGUCGUGGACUUCUGGAAACUGGGCAUAGCCAUAGGGAUGGAACAGAUGUGUCUGCAUCAGUUGUUCUAGUGCUUAUGACGUACUCAGAUGUUCUCUGAGGGUUUUCAUCUCUGCUAGGAUGAAGCUGCUAGCAAUAACAGUGGGCGCUGGUGUCAGGAAUCAAUAUACAGAGAUGAGGAAUCAUGCUACAGACAGAUUCCAGGAGAAGAAUGCAAAGAUCAAAGUGGGACAGCAAAAAGAGAGCAAGUCAGAGAAAGGUUCCACAUCUUCUCUUGACAAGGAAAUGGAAGUCCGACUUUGCUGAAACAGCACAAGAUGCUUAAAUGCUCUUCAACCUAAUGGUAAAGGUUGUGUUGUUCAACAUGGGAGAUCUUGACUGAAGUUACCAGUCUUGUCAGGAUAAGUUGACGUGUGGAAAAUUACCUCUGAAUCAGCACCCAAAUGUCAUGACUACGAGUCUGUCUAAGACUGUGCUCAAGCCAUAAGGAUAUGUAUAUGCUUUUACCAAGUAAAAAUCUCAUGGUGACAUCUAUAAUUUGAGAUUUCAUUUUCAC